UGUAAGGUGUAGUAGAAGCUCUGCUCUGGUCUGACUGAUCAUUGGACUGAUUGCUGGACAUUUUAACUACGCUGCAGUCGUGAUGGGCAGAAACUGAUGUAUAGAACAGAUUUUUUUCUAACUUUAGGCCAGAAUACAAACAACAACAGGAGCAUCUAAACCAGAAAGCUGCAGGACAACAGUUUGACUUCAGAGUGACCAUGGACCCGAGGAACACCCCAUCCUAAAUUCAGCAGAGGCCACGCCCAUCAUGGAUGAACUGGAUGUCGGGGAAGAUGGCAGGAAAGAAACACUGCUGCACCGACCUGGCUUCCCCGAGGCAGACACCGCUCUGUUAUACCCCCCUCCCCUGUCCCCGGACCCAAUCAGC